GCCAGGUGCAGUGGUGUGUGCCUGUAGUCUCAGCUACUAGGGAGGCUGAGGCUGGAGGAUUGCCUGAGUCCAGGAGUUCUGGGCUGUAGUGCGCUACGCCAACCGGGUGGCUGCACUAAGUUUGGUAUCAAUAUGGUGACCUCCCGGGAGCAGGGGACCACCAGGUUGCCUAAGGAGGGGUGAACCGGCCCAGGUCGGAAACAGAGCAGGUCAAAACUCCUGUGCUGAUCAGUAGUGGGAUUGCACCUGUGAAUGAAUAGCCACUGCACUCCAGACUGGGCAGCAUAGCAAGACCCUGUCUCU
rnacentral:SRP_RNA from 1 species